GGUUGUAGCUCAGUGGUAGAGCACAUGCUUAGCAUAUAUGAGUCCUGGGAUCAAUCCCUAAGACCA
rnacentral:tRNA from 1 species